rnacentral:lncRNA from 1 species
UCUCUCCUGAGUGCUGGGAGUAAAGGCGUGCGACACCACGCCUGGCAUGGACUAAUACUCUUAAGCAUGGCUUUACAAAUGUUGUUGAGGCUGGAGAAGCCUCUCAUCAGCUAAGAGCACUUCCAGAGGGCCCAGCUUCCAUUCUCAGCAUCCACGUGAGGCUCAUAACCAUCUGUAACUUCAGUUCCAGGAGAUCUGAUGCCUUCUUCUGCUCUCCAUGAACCUCAGGCUGCUGUCUGCUUGGUCAUUGCCCAGGCCAACAUCUGUGCACCUCAG